ACCUUAGAGACCAACUAAGUUUGUUAUUGGUAUGAGCUUUCAUGUGCAUGCACACUUCUUCAGAUACCCUGCAUGCACACGAAAGCUCAUACCAAUACAAACUUAGUUGGUCUCUAAGGU